rnacentral:tRNA from 1 species
GCGUUGCUUGAGCAUUGGCAGGCUCACCCGGCUGUAAACCGGACGCCCUCGGGCCUCGCGGGUUCAACUCCCGCGUGACGCA